CGGGUGAGUAAUGCGUGACCAACCUGCCCCAUGCUCCAGAAUAGCUCUUGGAAACGGGUGGUAAUGCUGGAUGCUCCAACUUGACGCAUGUCUUGUUGGGAAAGUGUUUAGUGGCAUGGGAUGGGGUCGCGUCCUAUCAGCUUGUAGGCGGGGUAAUGGCCCACCUAGGCUUCGACGGGUAGCCGGCCUGAGAGGGCGGACGGCCACAUUGGGACUGAGAUACGGCCCAGACUCCUACGGGAGGGCAGCAGGC
rnacentral:rRNA from 1 species